rnacentral:rRNA from 1 species
UGGGGAAUAUUGGACAAUGGGCGCAAGCCUGAUCCAGCCAUGCCGCGUGGGUGAAGAAGGCCUUCGGGUUGUAAAGCCCUUUUGUUGGGGAAGAAAUCGUGCAGGUGAAUAUCCUGCGCGGAUGACGGUACCCAAAGAAUAAGCACCGGCUAACUUCGUGCCAGCAGCCGCGGUGAUACGAAGGGUGCAAGCGUUACUCGGAAUUACUGGGCGUAAAGCGUGCGUAGGCGGUUCGUUAAGUCCGUUGUGAAAGCCCUGGGCUCAACCUGGGAAUUGCAGUGGAUACUGGCGAGCUAGAGUACGGUAGAGGAUGGUGGAAUGCCCGGUGUAGCGGUGAAAUGCGUAGAGAUCGGGAGGAACACCUGUGGCGAAGGCGGCCAUCUGGACCAGUACUGACGCUGAGGCACGAAAGCGUGGGGAGCAAACA